CAUUAACAAAUCCAUAUUUUAUGCCGCAAGGCGUAGAUAUAAAUUCGCUUGGCUGGCGCAAGCUGCCAAGUUGAAAGAUUAUGUAUGUGCUGUUGUCGCGAGAUGACGGUAUGUAAAUAAGUGUAUGUUGUGUAGACAAGUGUGUGUAAAAACAAAAAAUUAAUUGACAACUUUUAACAAUGGAUCUCUAGGCUCUUGCAGCGAUGAAGAACGCAGUAAAGUGCGAAAAUUGAUGCGAAUUGCACGAAUCUGUGAGUCAUCUAAUCUUUGAACGCAAAUGGCACUCUUGUGUAAGCAAGAGUAUGUCUGUUUGAGAAUCGCAAACCCGAUCUACUCUAGAUAGAGUUAGGUAUUGGCUUUAGGACGCGCAAGCGGUCUUUAGCUUGAAUGUAUUAAGGCUGAUGAGUUCCCAAUGGUGGCCUCAAUGUGUGCUAGCGGACAGAUGUUUCGAUGUCACAUUGACGGUUCCAAUGCAAGCUCUAUAAACGGCCUCUUGCUGGUGCUGGUGGGAGGAGGGAGACGCCGACGUGGUCAAACAUAUGUCGUCAUCAUCAUCCUCACGACAGCAUCGCAUCCAUCUAUUACGAUCUCAAAUCAGGCAAG
rnacentral:rRNA from 1 species